rnacentral:pre_miRNA from 1 species
UGCCUUCUCUAUCCGUGUUGGGGAUUCGUCACACACCAGACCACAUGGGCUGAUGAGAUUCACAAGAUAAGUGAAGUA